rnacentral:rRNA from 1 species
AUUGAACGCUGGCGGAAUGCUUUACACAUGCAAGUCGAACGGUAGAGGGGGCAACCCCUCGAGAGUGGCGAACGGGUGAGUAAUAUAUCGGAACGUGCCCAGUCGUGGGGGAUAACGUAGCGAAAGUUACGCUAAUACCGCAUACGAUCUAAGGAUGAAAGCGGGGGAUCGCAAGACCUCGCGCGAUUGGAGCGGCCGAUAUCAGAUUAGGUAGUUGGUGGGGUAAAGGCUCACCAAGCCAACGAUCUGUAGCUGGUCUGAGAGGACGACCAGCCACACUGGAACUGAGACACGGUCCAGACUCCUACGGGAGGCAGCAGUGGGGAACUUUGGACAAUGGACGCAAGUCUGAUCCAGCCAUUCCGCGUGCAGGAUGAAGGCCCUCGGGUCGUAAACUGCUUUUGUACGGAACGAAAAGGUCUCUCUUAAUACGGGGGACUCAUGACGGUACCGUAAGAAUAAGCACCGGCUAACUACGUGCCAGCAGCCGCCGCAG